rnacentral:rRNA from 1 species
UACGAAGGUCCCAAGCGUUAUCCGGAUUUAUUGGGCUUAAAGGGUGCGUAGGCGGCUUAUUAAGUCAGUGGUGAAAGCUCCAUGCUUAACGUGGAAAUUGCCAUUGAUACUGAUGAGCUUGAGUAGAUUUGAAGUGGGCGGAAUGUGUCGUGUAGCGGUGAAAUGCUUAGAUAUGACACAGAACACCGAUUGCGUAGGCAGCUCACUAAACUCUUACUGACGCUGAGGCACGAAAGCAUGGGGAUCAAACAGG